GACGGGUGAGUAAUGCCUGGGAAUAUGCCUUGAUGUGGGGGAUAACUAUUGGAAACGAUAGCUAAUACCGCAUAAUGCCUACGGGCCAAAGAGGGGGACCUUCGGGCCUCUCGCGUCAAGAUUAGCCCAGGUGGGAUUAGCUGGUUGGUGGGGUAACGGCUCACCAAGGCGACGAUCCCUAGCUGGUCUGAGAGGAUGAUCAGCCACACUGGAACUGAGACACGGUCCAGACUCCUACGGGAGGCAGCAGUGGGGAAUAUUGCACAAUGGGGGAAACCCUGAUGCAGCCAUGCCGCGUGUAUGAAGAAGGCCUUCGGGUUGUAAAGUACUUUCAGUCGUGAGGAAGGUUGGGUAGUUAACAGCUGCUUAAUUUGACGUUAGCGACAGAAGAAGCACCGGCUAACUCCGUGCCAGCAGCCGCGGUAAUACGGAGGGUGCGAGCGUUAAUCGGAAUUACUGGGCGUAAAGCGCAUGCAGGCGGUCUGUUAAGCAAGAUGUGAAAGCCCGGGGCUCAACCUCGGAACCGCAUUUUGAACUGGCAGACUAGAGUCUUGUAGAGGGGGGGUAGGAAUUUCAGGUGGUAGCGGUGAAAUGCGUAGAGAUCUGAAGGGAAUACCCGGUGGCGAAGGCGGCCCCCCUGGACAAAGACUGACGCUCAGAUGCGAAAGCGUGGGGAGCAAACAGGAUUAGAUACCCUGGUAGUCACGCCGUAAACGAUGUCUACUUGGAGGUUGUGGCCUUGAGCCGUGGCUUUCGGAGCUAACGCGUUAAGUAGACCGCCUGGGGAGUACGGUCGCAAGAUUAAAACUCAAAUGAAUUGACGGGGGCCCGCACAAGCGGUGGAGCAUGUGGUUUAAUUCGAUGCAACGCGAAGAACCUUACCUACUCUUGACAUCCAGAGAAUU
rnacentral:rRNA from 1 species